AAAAAAGUACCUUAAAAAACUAC
rnacentral:rRNA from 1 species